rnacentral:rRNA from 1 species
GAAGAAAGAGGGAGGCGUGCCUAAUACAUGCAAGUAGAACGCACAGUUUUUUCUGUAGCUUGCUACACCAUAGACUGUGAUGUGCGAACGGGUGAUGAACGCGUAGGUAUCCGUCCUGGUAUCGGUGGAUAACUAUUGGAAACGAUAGCUAAUACCUCUGAUGAUUGAUUAUUGCAUGAUAAUUAAGUGAAUUUGUUCAUGGCACCAUGUCCUUGUGGACCUGCGUUGUAUUAGCUAGUAGGUGAGGUAACGGCUCACCUAGGCGACGAUACAUAGCCGACCUGAGAGGGUGAUCGGCCACACUGGGACUGAGACACGGCCCAGACUCCUACGGGAGGCACCAGUAGGGCACAUUCGGCAAUGGACGAAAGUCUGACCGAGCAACGCCGCGUGAGUAAAGAAGGUAGUCGGAUCGUAAAGCUCUGUUGUAGGAGAAGAACAAAAAAGAGAGUGGAAAGUUCACACUGUGACGGUAUCUUACCAGAAAGGGACGGCUAACUACGUG